GUUUCGGAUGAGGCGGGAGAAUAUGCCAAAAGUGUUGAUUUGGGAGAUGAUGGAAGAGAUGUGUGGAUUUUUGAUGUUGACGAAACUUUGCUUUCGAAUCUUCCUUAUUAUUCUGAUCAUCGUUAUGGAUUGGAGGUAUUUGAUGAUGUGGAAUUUGAUAAAUGGGUUGAGAAGGGAACGGCGCCAGCCUUGGGGUCCAGCUUGAAGCUUUAUCAAGAAGUUCUGAAGCUGGGAUUCAAAGUUUUCUUGCUGACUGGGCGCAGUGAAA
rnacentral:misc_RNA from 1 species